rnacentral:rRNA from 1 species
CGAACGAUGAUCCCAGCUUGCUGGGGGAUUAGUGGCGAACGGGUGAGUAACACGUGAGUAACCUGCCCUUGACUCUGGGAUAAGCCUGGGAAACUGGGUCUAAUACCGGAUACGACCAUCUGGCGCAUGUCAUGGUGGUGGAAAGCUUUUGUGGUUUUGGAUGGACUCGCGGCCUAUCAGCUUGUUGGUGGGGUAAUGGCCUACCAAGGCGACGACGGGUAGCCGGCCUGAGAGGGUGACCGGCCACACUGGGACUGAGACACGGCCCAGACUCCUACGGGAGGCAGCAGUGGGGAAUAUUGCACAAUGGGCGCAAGCCUGAUGCAGCGACGCCGCGUGAGGGAUGACGGCCUUCGGGUUGUAAACCUCUUUCAGUAGGGAAGAAGCCGCAAGGUGACGGUACCUGCAGAAGAAGCGCCGGCUAACUACGUGCCAGCAGCCGCGGUAAUACGUAGGGCGCAAGCGUUAUCCGGAAUUAUUGGGCGUAAAGAGCUCGUAGGCGGUUUGUCGCGUCUGCUGUGAAAGACCGGGGCUCAACUCCGGUUCUGCAGUGGGUACGGGCAGACUAGAGUGCAGUAGGGGAGACUGGAAUUCCUGGUGUAGCGGUGAAAUGCGCAGAUAUCAGGAGGAACACCGAUGGCGAAGGCAGGUCUCUGGGCUGUAACUGACGCUGAGGAGCGAAAGCAUGGGGAGCGAACAGGAUUAGAUACCCUGGUAGUCCAUGCCGUAAACGUUGGGCACUAGGUGUGGGGGACAUUCCACGUUUUCCGCGCCGUAGCUAACGCAUUAAGUGCCCCGCCUGGGGGAGUACGGCCGCAAGGGCUAAAACUCAAAGGAAUUGACGGGGGGCCCGCACAAGCGGCGGAGCAUGCGGAUUAAUUCGAUGCAACGCGAAGAA